GGUGUUGCGCCUAAGCCAGUGAAAUAGAGUUUCCUCGGUGCCAGUUUGAUUCUGUAUUCUGUAUUUGGAGAUGAGAAAAGAAGCUACUCUACUGUCGAAAGCCCAGUAUCAAGGGCAAGGCGAAAGAGUAGAGAACUAUGGGGCAAUAAUGAGAGUCUUCAUCCCGAGUUGCCCCUGGCGAGGUAAAGUAAAGGCAAGGAUGCGAGGUCUACUUCAGCGGAUCCAACUCAGUUACAAGAUCAUAAGCUGUUAGGUCACUGAAUUCUAUCAUUGGUACUCGAGGUCAAGGAGCAAGUGUAGUUCAAGAUUCCAGUGGAGAGGUCGGCGCACCUUAAAGGGAUAGAUCUAGCUACUAUUACAAUUUGGAUAAAAG
rnacentral:lncRNA from 1 species